GCUGUAAUGCACUCUGCCAUGCUAACUCAGUAGCCUGCCAUUAUCUCAAGGUCUCCUUCGUCCAGCAGGAAAUGUGACCUGAUUAUGUUUCUAGUAAAAUUGUAGAGAGACAACUCCUCACUGAACUGUGUUUCUUUUUCAAAUAGCUGUUGAAAUGAAGUCAUCUAAAGUAUUCUCGUCAGGCCAUAGAAUGGACCGAAGCAUGCCAGCUGGUGACAAUAUCUUGGUUUCCCGAUCUACUGACUUCACCCAGGACAAAGUAAAUGGGCAAUUGCAUAGCGAGUUUCCCUCAGCCUUCACCAGCAAACCUAAGAUCCCUCGCACUCCUGAAGCGCAGAGUGCCAGCCCUAGAAAGGGAAAGGUCCCAGCCAUUGCCCCUCAGUUCUCUCAGUCUGGACCCCAAC
rnacentral:lncRNA from 1 species